UUCACAUUUUAUUUUUAUUGCAGCCUCGAAUUCCGAGCCAACUUUAAGGAAGAACGCCAUUAUUGCCGAUUCGAAUCGAAGGAACGAAUUUGGCGCGGAAUAUUGGACAAAUCUACUCUGCGUGAUCUAUCGCGAGAAGGGUUCACUUUGUACAGGAUUCACCGGAUAACAGUUAAUUGAAACCGGCGAUCCUAUUUUACGAUUGAUUAGUCGUCCGUGCAAUAUCAGCCCCGUAGAACAACAACGUUCAACCUUGGUACUGGGAUAUUGAAGUAUGUUGGUCCGGGGAAAAAGCCACAAGAUGCGGUUCACCCCUUUGUAACGAAAAAACACAGUGUUAACGAAGGAGGAAAAACUAAAGACUGGAAGCGGAACAGUACAUUCGAGAAUUAUACAACACGUAUUUUUUUAUCAUUCUACUUCCUGAUGUUAUCGUAAUACGUAGCCCCGUGCGUGAAUUUCCUGUGGUCAACACGCGUUUGCAUGCGUUAAAACGAUGAACAAACCACUGAUUAAAUGUAUAUUCUAUUCUAUUCGGAAUCCACAAAAACACGGGAUUGUAAAAUAAUGUUAUUCGAAUGAAAUUUGAUAGAGAGAGAACAAGUCGAAACGACCUAUCCCUUUAACGAAU